GAUGAACGCUGGCGGCGUGCCUAAUACAUGCAAGUCGAGCGAACGGACGAGAAGCUUUCUUCUCUGAUGUUAGCGGCGGACGGGUGAGUAACAAGUGGAUAACAUACCUCUACGACUUGGAUAACUUCGGGAAACCGGAGCUAAUACCGGAUGAUAUUUUGAACCGCAUGGUUCAAAAGUGAAAGAAGGUCUUGCUGUCACUUAUAGAUGGAUCCGCGCUGCAUUAGCUAGUUGGUAAGGUAACGGCUUACCAAGGCAACGAUGCAUAGCCGACCUGAGAGGGUGAUCGGCCACACUGGAACUGAGACACGGUCCAGACUCCUACGGGAGGCAGCAGUAGGGAAUCUUCCGCAAUGGGCGAAAGCCUGACGGAGCAACGCCGCGUGAGUGAUGAAGGUCUUCGGAUCGUAAAACUCUGUUAUUAGGGAAGAACAUAUGUGUAAGUAACUGUGCACAUCUUGACGGUACCUAAUCAGAAAGCCACGGCUAACUACGUG
rnacentral:rRNA from 1 species